rnacentral:rRNA from 1 species
UACGGGAGGCAGCAGUGGGGAAUCUUGGACAAUGGGCGCAAGCCUGAUCCAGCCAUGCCGCGUGAGUGAUGAAGGCCUUAGGGUCGUAAAGCUCUUUCGCCAGAGAUGAUAAUGACAGUAUCUGGUAAAGAAACCCCGGCUAACUCCGUGCCAGCAGCCGCGGUAAUACGGAGGGGGUUAGCGUUGUUCGGAAUUACUGGGCGUAAAGCGCACGUAGGCGGAUCAGAAAGUAUAGGGUGAAAUCCCAGGGCUCAACCCUGGAACUGCCUUGUAAACUCCUGGUCUUGAGUUCGAGAGAGGUGAGUGGAAUUCCGAGUGUAGAGGUGAAAUUCGUAGAUAUUCGGAGGAACACCAGUGGCGAAGGCGGCUCACUGGCUCGAUACUGACGCUGAGGUGCGAAAGUGUGGGGAGCAAACAGGAUUAGAUACCCUGGUAGUCCACACCGUAAACGAUGAAUGCCAGACGUCAGCAAGCAUGCUUGUUGGUGUCACACCUAACGGAUUAAGCAUUCCGCCUGGGGAGUACGGUCGCAAGAUUAAAACUGAAAUGAAUUGACGG